UUUCGAAUAACAAAACAUACAAUUUUUAAUAUUUCUCAAUUUUUUUCCAACGCACGUGCAUACAUACAUAUUAUAUCUUCCAUCAACUAACAACCAUCUACCAGUAAUAUACUACAAUCAAAUCGAGUUGUCGACAGCAUGAUAGCGGAUCGGCUGAUAAUAUUUAUUUUUGGUGUUGCCAUUGGCUAUUUUAUUGUGCCGAAAUUGUAGUUCCAGCGUCUUCAAUCAAAUUACCGUUAAAUUGUGGCUUCUGUUUGUGAUCUCUUAUACGGAUAAAAAUGGAUCGAAUUAUUUUAUUUAGUCUUGGCGUUUUGGUUGGCUAUUAUAUAUUGAGAAAAAUGUAAAUCAUGGAAAAUGUGUGCUCGUCUCUGGAAUGUGUUAUUUCAAAUUAAGUGUAGAGGAAAAUAAAAAUGUAUGCUAAAUGUUAUAAAAAUUA